GUGCUUACCCGGCACAGGAGAUGCCGUGAUCAUGGAGGCUGCUUCCCAGGGUGAGGCCCGUCGUAUCACUCCGACGGUGCUGAUCCCUGCAAUUAACCCAAAUGUGGUUAUCUCGAGUACGAUUUUUUUAGUGUGUGUGUGUGUGUGUGUGUGUGCACGCA